UGGCGAGUCCUUGAGAUGAGAUUGCGUGUGAUUGUCAAAGAAAAAUAGAAAAUAACUUUAUAUGGUUGCCUGGACAUACCUUAAGAGUGGCCAAAACCAUCAAAGGGAACCUCUUGAGCUCAAUUUAAAGUUUAUACGAUACAGCACAUUUAGAAGUGGAAAAGAAUAAUUGUAGUGGUCGUCAGCUGUGGCAUUUUGAAUAGUUUGCUUCUCCGACUGACUAAAGUCAGUUAUUUUGGUUUGGAUUUCCUCAAUACAUUUCUCACUACAUUCCCUCUAUUCACAACUCCACAGAAUGUAUUGGACUAUCUUGUUAAACUAACAGUAUGGCAAUACAUUCUAGUUCACAAUCACAUACUUUGGAUGUGGGCAGUAGCUAAGCAGCAGAGUGAUUUGUCCAGGACAAGAGUAAUAGAGUUUCUUAGUUUCUUGUCAAUCUUGCAAUGGAGUGCUAUCAACUGAACAAUUUCCUGAGCACAAUGCAACUAAUGGGAGCUUGAGCACAGCACUGUACUGAGAUUUAAUAGCAUAUUUGAAGGUUUACCUAAAACAUUAAAAGCUCAUUUAAGAUUACUUGGCAAGCUAGGCAGUACUGAUGGACGCUAUAAAGAACUUAAAGACGCCAUCAGAAAAGCCACGUCUCCUCUAAUACCAUAUUUGGCAUUGACUAUGAGUGAGCUGGUGAAUGUGUCCGAGAGUGCAUCAAACUAUAUUGAAGGAGAUUUGGUUAACUUUACUAAAAUGAGAAGAUACACAAGAAUCAUACACAGUCUUCUACAGCUCAGAAAGACCCUUAUGAUUUUAACUUUGAUCCUGAAAUAUCUAAAGUUCUGCUGACAGCAGAGUUGCCAGGAGAUGAGAAUGCUCUUUAUGAAUAUGUUGAUGAGCUUAGAGACUGUCCUUUAUCACCUUCUUCCUCAUCCUCCUCUUCCUCUGAACAAUAGAUGAAUGCAUUAUCAUUGUAACACUUUAUGUUCCUCAAACAUGUUAACUUUAUGCUGUCUUUUUUGUUUUAUAUUAAUUUUUCACUUUUUAUAAUGAGCCCUAUUCAUAGUUUUUUUUAUUUUCAAUUACAUAUUUUGCAGCUACAAUUAAAGGGUUUUAAUCUCUUGCUAUUCA